CACAUGCAAGUCGAGGGGCAGCAUUUCAUUUUGCUUGCAAACUGAAGAUGGCGACCGGCGCACGGGUGAGUAACACGUAUCCAACCUGCCGAUAACUCCGGAAUAUCCUUUCGAAAGAAAGAUUAAUACCGGAUAGCAUACGAAUAUCGCAUGAUAUUUUUAUUAAAGAAUUUCGGUUAUCGAUGGGGAUGCGUUCCAUUAGUUUGUUGGCGGGGUAACGGCCCACCAAGACUACGAUGGAUAGGGGUUCUGAGAGGAAGGUCCCCCACAUUGGAACUGAGACACGGUCCAAACUCCUACGGGAGGCAGCAGUGAGGAAUAUUGGUCAAUGGGCGAGAGCCUGAACCAGCCAAGUAGCGUGAAGGAUGAAGGCUCUAUGGGUCGUAAACUUCUUUUAUAUGGGAAUAAAGUUUUCCACGUGUGGAAUUUUGUAUGUACCAUAUGAAUAAGGAUCGGCUAACUCCGUGCCAGCAGCCGCGGUAAUACGGAGGAUCCGAGCGUUAUCCGGGUUUAUUGGGUUUAAAGGGAGCGUAGGUGGAUUGUUAAGUCAGUUGUGAAAGUUUGCGGCUCAACCGUAAAAUUGCAGUUGAAACUGGCAGUCUUGAGUACAGUAGAGGUGGGCGGAAUUCGUGGUGUAGCGGUGAAAUGCUUAGAUAUCACGAAGAACUCCGAUUGCGAAGGCAGCUCACUAGACUGUCACUGACACUGAUGCUCGAAAGUGUGGGUAUCAAACAGGAUUAGAUACCCUGGUAGUCCACACAGUAAACGAUGAAUACUCGCUGUUUGCGAUAUACAGUAAGCGGCCAAGCGAAAGCAUUAAGUAUUCCACCUGGGGAGUACGUCGGCAACGGUGAAACUCAAAGGAAUUGACGGGGGCCCGCACAAGCGGAGGAACAUGUGGUUUAAUUCGAUGAUACGCGAGGAACCUUACCCGGGCUUAAAUUGCAACAGAAUAUAUUGGAAACAGUAUAGCCGUAAGGCUGUUGUGAAGGUGCUGCAUGGUUGUCGUCAGCUCGUGCCGUGAGGUGUCGGCUUAAGUGCCAUAACGAGCGCAACCCUUAUCUUUAGUUACUAACAGGUCAUGCUGAGGACUCUAGAGAGACUGCCGUCGUAAGAUGUGAGGAAGGUGGGGAUGACGUCAAAUCAGCACGGCCCUUACGUCCGGGGCUACACACGUGUUACAAUGGGGGGUACAGAAGGCGGCUACCUGGUGACAGGAUGCUAAUCCCAAAAACCUCUCUCAGUUCGGAUCGAAGUCUGCAACCCGACUUCGUGAAGCUGGAUUCGCUAGUAAUCGCGCAUCAGCCAUGGCGCGGUGAAUACGUUCCCGGGCCUUGUACACACCGCCCGUCAAGCCAUGAAAGCCGGGGGUACCUGAAGUACGUAACCGCAAGGAGCGUCCUAGGGUAAAACUGGUAAUUGGGGCUAAGUCGUA
rnacentral:rRNA from 1 species